GAUGAACGCUGGCGGCGUGCCUAAUACAUGCAAGUCGAGCGAACAGACGAGGAGCUUGCUCCUCUGACGUUAGCGGCGGACGGGUGAGUAACACGUGGAUAACCUACCUAUAAGACUGGGAUAACUUCGGGAAACCGGAGCUAAUACCGGAUAAUAUAUUGAACCGCAUGGUUCAAUAGUGAAAGACGGUUUUGCUGUCACUUAUAGAUGGAUCCGCGCCGCAUUAGCUAGUUGGUAAGGUAACGGCUUACCAAGGCAACGAUGCGUAGCCGACCUGAGAGGGUGAUCGGCCACACUGGAACUGAGACACGGUCCAGAGUCCUGCGGGAGGCAGCAGUAGGGAAUCGUCCGCAAUGGGCGAAAGCCUGACGGAGCAACGGCGCGUGAGUGAUGAAGGUCUUCGGAUCGUAAAACUCUGUUAUGAGGGAAGAACAAAUGUGUAAGUAACUAUGCACGUAUUGACGGUACCUAAUCAGAAAGCCACGGCUAACUACGUG
rnacentral:rRNA from 1 species